GGGGAUUUAGCUCAGUGGUAGAGCGCUUGCCUAGCAAGCACAAGGCCUGGGUGCAAGGCCUGGGUUCGGUCCCCAGCUCCG
rnacentral:tRNA from 1 species